CUUGCAGCAGUGUUGGUGUAUCUACACACCAAGGAUUAUAUUGGCUCAAGAAGGCAGUCCACUGAUGGUGUAUUUAAACUGCUGGCCUAGCCAGUAACAUCCACCUUCCAUGAAUGAAUAAAAUAAGUUAGGAAGUUAACUUCAGAAGCAUUUAAUGUUCUGUGGUCAUGAAAGGUAUUCAGUAGAAAUAACAUCAUAAAAUGUUUACAGUACAGAACAAAACCAAUUGGCCAAUUUGUGCUGAUAUUGUCUUUCUGUAAGAGCAACAUAUCUAGUUCCACUCCCCUGUCUUUUCCCUGUAUCUGCAAGUUUUUUUUUCUCUUUAGAUAUUGACUAAUUUUUUUUUGAAAGUCGCAGUUAAAUUUGUCUCUACCACACUCUCAGGCCUGAAUGCACCACAUUCCUGUUCACUGUAUAAAACAGAUUUUUCUUGUGUUGCCGUCACUUCCUACACCAAUCAUCUUAAACCAGUGUCUUCCGGGCAAAAUUGCUGCUCCAUUCUUUAUUAGCUGAUGAAAGGAUAUCACCCUAUCCAAGAAACCUGUCACAAAUCCUACUCAUACAAUUACAGACUCUCCUCAAUUUCCUGGGUGUUUCCCGGAAAAGAUAAUAAUCUUCUGAAUGCUGCUGCCUCUAGCCUUGAAAAAAAACUGUAUCAUUCCAUUUUAAAGGCAGUGCAUCAAGCAUUUGAGAGAUGAAUUUUAGCAUUCCAUUUCCAGUCUUUGCAUGUUAAAUUAUGUUUGUUUUUACUGUUUACAGUUAGAUGUGCAAAAUCCCUGUUCUUGAGCUGUUGGGAAAGGUAAUCAUUCUAUGUUCAGUUCAACUUUAUCUUUUAUAUUUUUCAAGGAGUUUGAAAGAGCCUAUUUUCUUAAAUAACAAAAGAAUACACAACAGUUUUUUUUAUAUUCUUUGUUUUUUUUCCACUAAUAUUUUCACAGGCUGUUCUAAGGACUAAUUUUCUGUUUCAUGUCCCCUUUUGAGUAAUUGAACAAUUAUUGUUGCACUGGUAAGAGUUAUUAGAUGGGUUUUAUCACUCAUAUUUGUAUAAGUGUCUGUAUUUGCAUCAUAAAUUGUGGGCUGCAUCAUUAACACAUACUACCAUUGCAAUAAUUUGAGCACAUUUAUUCUCUAGUCUCUUUUCCUUCCUGAAAUAUAAAAAUAAUAGGCAGCUGGAAAUGUUCACUUUGUCUGGAGGCACUUUUCAGACAGAAUUGUCCCUCAAUUGUGAAAAAUUCAAAGAGGUCUGGUUUACAGAUAUUUUCUACCGAAUUCCUAACUCUGAAAAAAUGUUGGUAAACAUUUGACUUCAGUGAUCACUUUAAAAACACUGUACAGUCAUCAGAAAACAUGCAUUUUUCAGCUAUUUGGGUGAAAAUUGAAAAAGGUACUUUACGACAAAACUCUAUGGGAGACUGAGAAUUUAGUUGACAAUGAACUAGGUUUAUCAUAAUUUUUCUUUCAUUUUUUAAUGGUGCCGUGGCCACACAGAUACCCACCCUCUUCAAUUUCCUGGGUGUCUCCUGGAAAUGAACAUUGAUCUUCUCAUGCUGCUGCCUUUCGCCUUGAAGAAAAAUACCUUUACCUUCUGUCUGAGUAUCUGAUGGCCUGAAAUUGAACCCUGCAUCAAGUUAAUUGACUGAAAAUCAGUCAGGAAACUGUGAGAAGAUGGAUGAAUAGCUAUAUUGGACUUGUCAAACAUCUUGGCAAAGAAUAAAAAUGAAGAAGAAAAUACUUGGACAGCAGCUGUAUAUCCUAUUUCUACCAAAACCCACGUAUGGUAAUUAUGUUAAAGCACUUUCCUUGUGUAAGCCUUGCCCCAUUUCUAACAUUCAUUGUACCCAGAACAGGUUGGCAUUGCCAGGAUAUCCUGAAUGGACUAGCAGUUCCUGACACCAUCUUUAAGAGCUAAUUAUGCUGCCAAUCAAGGAUUGUUAGUCCAGAAGUAGUUCCUGUUUUUGUUGCAGACAUGGCAGAGAAGGGAACAUGGUGCCCCACUUUGCAGAGAGGGGAUAUCCUGGAUAUCCUGAUGGAUGGGAUGGUGCAGAUGGCAUACAUCAUCUUUCCCAAAGACUGACAGAGGAGACCACAUCACCCGACCAUGAUCUAAGGAUGCCACCUGACUCAGUGCUGUCUCAGCCAUUUGGAAGAGUGCACAGCGACAUAGGAAGAAGGUCAAUUUCUUUCUGCACUUUGCCAUUGAGUAAACAGCCCAGAACAGGGCAGAAAGAAUCAAGACAGGAAUGGUUCUGUGACAUUCAAUCCUAACCACUCAGGAGGAGAGGAUGCUGACUCUGACCCAGCUUGAUGAGCUGACUGACUGUGUCUAUGUCCUCAGACUGCUAUUGGAGGUUGCCCUUGACUUACUGCACUGGGACCCUUCAGCAAUGGCUGUCUUCCUGGACUGGGCUGAGCAUUUCUGACAACCAUGCUAAGCUCCCUGGUUUUAUGUCUGCAUUAUGUACUGUCAGCCUGUACCUCUGGUUGAGAUGCAAAGCACAAAAAGGCAAGGCAAGGCAGGUUACUAUGACAUCCUGAUGGAUGGGAUGGUGCAGAGGCAUACAUCCUCUUCCCCAAAGACUGGCAGAGGAGGCCACAUCGCCUGAUCAAAAACUAAGCACUAAGAGAGGAAGUGAGCAGGCCAGAGACACAGCCUGGUCCAGUCCAUGAACUAGGUAUCUGUCCCUGAAAAGCUAAUUGCUUGCUGCAAUAUUAUAAUGACAGUUUCCAUUGUAGCAUUGAAAGGCAGUUAUCUACUGUAAAUAGGUAAGAGAUGUGCCAUGGGAUUCAUAGAAGCUGGCACAUGUCACAUGCCAAUGUGCAAUAUGUGUGGUUUGUGCCUAUGGUGCAUAUUCUGAGAUGUUGGUUCAUGGUGUCAACACAUGUAGGUCCUUUGGAACAAAUAGUGAGCUGAAGUCGCCAGGUACCCGCUCUGAUUUCUACAUUGAGAAAUUUCAAUGUCCCACUUGUUCAUGGCAGCUCCAUGUUAGUGAGGUGAGAUUUGCAGUUAAUAUGUUCAACAAACAAUGGCCCCCCUCAAUGUCCAGAACACAGUUAAAUAAUGCAACAGGUUGGUUUUCAAUGUCAAGAAAAGCAUUGCUAGACUUCUCCCACAAAUUAACCAGAUUUUCCAACAUAGCCCACGUUGUUCAGGCCCCUACAAAAUCUCACUGCCAAUGUUUGGCUUUCAGUAGACAAGCAGACAGCUGGAAGAACACUGCA